CGCCCCCAUGGGCACUCUCACAUUAUCCAUCUCACCCCUUUGUGCAUCACCGCGUGGGUCCUCCUUUGCAGGAGGGCUCGCGUUUUCACACAAAACUCGAUACAGUGUAGAAUGUUAUCUUUUGCGGUCACACGCAAUCAAUACAACUUUCAACAACGGAUCUCUUGGCUCUCGCAUCGAUGAAGAACGCAGCGAAAUGCGAUACGUAAUGUGAAUUGCAGAAUUCAGUGAAUCAUCGAAUCUUUGAACGCACCUUGCGCCCCUUGGCAUUCCGAGGGGCACACCCGUUUGAGUGUCGUGAAAUCAUCAAAUGCCUUUUUCUGUUUACCGAAAAGGGUUUUUGGACUUGGAGGUUCAAUGCUCGCCUUUCACUUUUGAAAAGCGAGCUCCUCUCAAAUGAAUUAGUGGGGUUCUCUUUGGCUGACCCUCACCGUAAUAAAAUGUUCUUCCGUUUGGAAUUGGCACCUGUUCCCGUUUCUAACUGUCCCCACGGACAACGAUGGUGCUCUGGUCGCCACCGUCUACAUUGGCGGAGGAGGGCUGGACCCACAAAAGAAAACCUUGACCUCAAAUCGGGUGAGACUACCCGCUGAACUUAAG
rnacentral:rRNA from 1 species